AAGGAUUUAAGUUAAAAAAACUUUUAACCUUCAAAGUUAAUAAUAGAUUAUAUCUAAGCCUUA
rnacentral:tRNA from 1 species